CUGUGCAGCGCUCGGCGGCGCGGUCCCAGUCCGGAACAUAUGUGCACUCCUCCAACCGCACAGCCACCUUGGGGGACCGAGUCCUCCCAGUUCACAGCUAGCGGAGCGACCGUUUGCACGAACACCUAAAGCCUCGGUAACUGGGGCUCGUCACGCCAGCAGUCUGCACUCCUGUCGGGUACGGGAAGGUGGGACAAAUGUCCCAAUCAGCCCAACUCUGCAAGCGGAUUCCUCUAGCAACAUCCAUGAGUUUCAAGUUUGUCCCAACCAAGUUCACACUCGCAGGGAGCCUCUACCAUCAGCGGGAGCGCGGCGGGAUUAACCCGGGCGCGUCCUCCGCUGCGUUUUCAGGACUGACUCCCCGAGCCAGGGAGUGGCCGUCAGGGACCCUGGACUGGCGUGGGCGCGCGUGUCUCGCGGCCG
rnacentral:lncRNA from 1 species